UGGCUGCACCGACAAGACUGUGAUCCUCCUGGGAGAGGAGGAUAGCAUGCAGUGUUGCCUCCCUCUCUUCUAGGUACCUGGUGACCUUUAGCCCCCUGAUGGACACGCAGGAUGACCCUCAGGCCAUAAUCAUCUGGGACAUCCUUACGGGGCACAAGAAGAGAGGUUUUCACUUUGAGAGCUCAGCCCAUUGGCCUAUUUUUAAGUGGAGCCAUGAUGGUAAAUUCUUUGCCAGAAUGACCCUGGAUACGGUUAGUGUAAGGCCGGUUGCCUUGCCGGGAGCUCGGACACGCCCAUCCCUCUGCACGCCUGAAAUUACGUCACCAGAAUCUGCACUCAGCAUCUAGCUCUGCCACGCCCACCUCUGCACUCAACACUAAACUCUGCCCCUGGCACCUAGCCAGCCGUUGGAAAACCCCGCCAAAAUUUAAAAGAAGCCCCACCAAAACCUGCCCAAUAGCGUAUGGCCCCGUCCAGUCCGCUCACCGGAAAUCCCGCCUACCUACCUAUAGCAGCUUGCCACAUCCACAUCCUGUUUCUCCACAGCCAAUCAGAGCGCCUUCUCUCCCUAUAUAACCCCAAGCCUGAGAGGAGUCAGGCGCGACUUUUCUGGCCCCCUUUCCCUGGACCAUAGAACCUCGCCUGGGAGUUGAAUAAAUUGACAUCUAAUUGUUCU